ACACAUCAAGAGUCCUGAGGGGCUGUUCCUGCAGAGCAGAGACAUAAGUACAGGUCCUACCAAAGCAGCUGAAGCUCAUGGCCAGGACUGUGGUAGUCUGCCGAGUAAAUGUGGAAGGCGAGUCCCGGGCUCCCUCAGACUCCUCACAGUGCUCAGCUCACUGGGGAUACCAAGUAACCACGUUUCUGUGAGAAGCCUUACCACCAAUGGCAGAAAACCCACAAGACUGCCCGACUCACAGCAAGGAAACAACUCAAAAGGGCAACUUCUCCAGGCAGAGAACAACUCGCUGACCUGGCUCACCAUCUCCGCUAAGCAGUCCGGCUGCGUAGCCUCAGGGAUCUGUGCGAGUUACCCACUAUUGCUGAGAUUAUACGUGCUGUGUCACCGUGCCUUGCUUUUUUUUUUUUAAUGUGGCUUCUUGGGAUUAAAUUCAUGUCCUCAAGCUUAUACAGACUUUGCAGUCUCCUGAUACAUGGGUGGUUAGUGGAGUCUCCAAGAAGACCGUAUGCACAUCCCCAGGCAGAUUUGAGCAUGCAGCAUCCCCUCUUUUGUAUUUUCAAAAAAAUGUCUGUUUUUAAGACUUUAUUAAGGCGAAUGUGUUCCCAAGGACAUGAAAGCAUCACUGUGGACAGCCACAGAGCCACCAAACUGAAUGUUAUUUGUGAUAUGAAUAUAUAUAUAUAUGUAUGUACAUACAUACAUAUAUAUAUAUUCAACAUAUUUCUCAAAAUCACUUCCAUAGCUGUAAAUUACUGAACUGAAAACAUUUUGUAUGUCAAAGCUCAUAUCAUGCUAGUUAUCCAAA